rnacentral:rRNA from 1 species
GUUCAAUUUAAUUCUGGUUGUGGGAGGGAUUUGGGACGGUGCCACAUAGAAUUUGUCUUUGGGAUGUAGCCUGGAGGUUUUUGGUGUUGUUUAGUGGUUAGAUCUUGGUCUUUGAGGUAACUCAGAUUGGGCUGUCUCAGGUGAAGUGGAGGAUUCGCAGUGCCAGCAUCCGCGGUUAUUCUGUUAAUUUCCCCUCCGGCUUGGUUUAAAUAUUUUGUGGGGUAUUCUGACAUUUGGGUAGAAUUUUUGUUUUGUUGAGAUAUGCCUACAAAGAUUUUGAGUGUUUUUUAGGAAAAGGAUUAGAGACCCUUGUACUGAACGGGGUAUUUUGUGGCCAUGGUGUAAACUAAAAGGAUUUGGCAGCCGAUGAGGUUCUUCCGGGGGAGUGUGUGGCGUAAGAGAUAGUCCACUUAGGAUCUUGCCAUUGUUAUUAGUUAGUGUAUAUCCGGUUUAAGAUUCGUGAUUUGUGUCAUUGAGUGUUAUUUGUUUUAAUUGAAGCCAGGUCAAUGUGCUGCUUAUGCGAUGGUGCUUGUGCACUACUUUUUAAAGGAUUUUUGAUGUAAUUUGAAGAGGUUUAGGACUCGGAAGUAGGCAGAUUGAGGUUUGUUCUGUCGAAUUUGGAUUUAGUUGGGGUACAUACCGCCCGUCACCCAGGGUGAUAACUGUGGUAAGUCGUAACAUGGUAAUGUUGGGGGAACCGGACAUUAGUUGGCAUAUCUCAUUUGUGGGAUGCCC